AGAGUUUGAUCCUGGCUCAGAAUGAACGCUGGCGGCGUGCUUAACACAUGCAAGUCGAACGGUAACAGAGAGAAGCUUGCUUCUCUGCUGACGAGUGGCGCACGGGUGAGUAAUAUAUAGGUAAUGUGCCUCUUAGUCUGGGAUAGCCAUUGGAAACGAUGAUUAAUACUAGAUACUCCUUCUAACUAUAAUGUUAGUCGGGAAAGUUUUUCGCUAAGAGAUCGGCCUAUAUCCCAUCAGUUAGUUGGUAAGGUAACGGCUUACCAAGACAAUGACGGGUAGCGGGUUUGAGAGGAUGAUCCGCCACACUGGUACUGAGACACGGACCAGACUCCUACGGGAGGCAGCAGUGAGGAAUAUUGCACAAUGGGGGAAACCCUGAUGCAGCAACGCCGCGUGGAGGAUGACGCAUUUCGGUGUGUAAACUCCUUUUAUAUGUCAAGAAAAUGACGGUAGCAUAUGAAUAAGCACCGGCUAACUCCGUGCCAGCAGCCGCGGUAAUACGGAGGGUGCAAGCGUUAUUCGGAAUCACUGGGCGUAAAGGACGCGUAGGCGGGUUGCCAAGUCAGGUGUGAAAUCCUACAGCUUAUCUGUAGAACUGCAUUUGAAACUGGUAACUUUAGAGUAUGGGAGGGGGAGAUGGUAUUUAGUGGUGUAGGGGUAAAAUCCGUAGAUAUCACUAGGAAUACCGAAAGCGAAGGCGAUCUACUGGAACAUUAU
rnacentral:rRNA from 1 species